UACGUAGGGUCCGAGCGUUGUUCGGAAUUACUGGGCGUAAAGCGCACGUAGGCGGCUUUUCAAGUCAGGGGUGAAAGCCCGGGGCUCAACCCCGGAAUUGCCCUUGAAACUGGAAGGCUAGAAUCACGGAGAGGUGGGUGGAAUUCCGAGUGUAGAGGUGAGAUUCGUAGAUAUUCGGAAGAACACCAGUGGCGAAGGCGGCCCACUGGACGUGUAUUGACGCUGAGGUGCGAAAGCGUGGGGAGCAAACAGG
rnacentral:rRNA from 1 species